ACCACAACGUACACAGCGUACGGGCCUGUAAGUCAUGCUGGUCACUCUGCUCGUGUUUGCUGCUGUUGUUGGAUACACUACGGGGCUGCCAGAUGAAUGUCUGGUACAGAUGGAUAUAGGCCCAUGUGACGGCUAUUUCCCGCGGUUUUUCUAUGAUUUCACAACGCGUACUUGUCAGGAGUUUGCGUGGGGCGGCUGUGGAGAAAACGCCAACAAUUUUCACACGUUGAAAGAAUGUCAACAUAGGUGUGCCACGGCCUGAACUAUGUGAAGUAUAUGUUGUUAAAAUAAUAAAUAAUAAAUAAUGUA